CUCUUUGUCUUGGGGAGCUGAAGAUUUAGAGAAUCUUUGCUCCAUCCCAAGAAUUCAUUGUGGAGGGAAUGUUGGUUUCAGCAAUUCCAUCCACUUUCCUUCUAUGCCACCUGUCUCUUCCUUUCCUAUCCUAAAGCUUAGUGUAAGUGUGUGUGUAUAUAUAUAUUUAUCAGAAAAAUCUGAUACUUCUGGAUCUUUUGAUGGAUUUGAUGUUUGCUGAAGAUUUUUUUUCCCUUCCACUGAGACUGCAGACAAGAUGGGCAGACAGGUCUUCGGCUCAGCUACCUGGUAGUGUGAAGUAGCUGUAAUGUUGGCUUAACUCAUGGCUGAAAGACUCUUCUGUUGACAGAAGGUCACCAGGAUGGCACCUGAAAAAGCCUGAAAAGGCUUCUGCUUUCCUGCUCAGUGUAAGCACCCUUUCCUGAGCAAAAUAAAUCAGCUGUGGUAUCUGUGGAACACCAAGAGCCAUAGCAUGUAAUUUUAGAAAUCUGCAGGAGUCUCCAGACGUUUCCAAAUGCCAACAGUCUCCAGCAUUUGCAACCCUGCUUGAAUCAGAAACAAUAGAAGAGCUGUGCUUGCAACUUUGCCCAUUUAUUUUUUUUUUCUUGCUGGUGGGAUACUGUAGAUUUUAGUAGUAAUGACUUUCAUAUGAAAUAACAUUUAAAUAAUUAUA